rnacentral:rRNA from 1 species
AGUGGCGGACGGGUGAGUAACGCGUAAGAAUCUAACUUCAGGACGGGGACAACAGUGGGAAACGACCGCUAAUACCCGAUGUGCCGCGAGGUGAAACCUAAUUGGCCUGAAGAAGAGCUUGCGUCUGAUUAGCUAGUUGGUGGGGUAAGAGCCUACCAAGGCGACGAUCAGUAGCUGGUCUGAGAGGAUGAGCAGCCACACUGGGACUGAGACACGGCCCAGACUCCUACGGGAGGCAGCAGUGGGGAAUUUUCCGCAAUGGGCGAAAGCCUGACGGAGCAACGCCGCGUGAGGGAGGAAGGUCUUUGGAUUGUAAACCUCUUUUCUCAAGGAAGAAGUUCUGACGGUACUUGAGGAAUCAGCCUCGGCUAACUCCGUGCCAGCAGCCGCGGUAAUACGGGGGAGGCAAGCGUUAUCCGGAAUUAUUGGGCGUAAAGCGUCCGCAGGUGGUCAGCCAAGUCUGCCGUCAAAUCAGGUUGCUUAACGACCUAAAGGCGGUGGAAACUGGCAGACUAGAGAGCAGUAGGGGUAGCAGGAAUUCCCAGUGUAGCGGUGAAAUGCGUAGAGAUUGGGAAGAACAUCGGUGGCGAAAGCGUGCUACUGGGCUGUAUCUGACACUCAGGGACGAAAGCUAGGGGAGCGAAAGGGAUUAGAUACCCCUGUAGUCCUAGCCGUAACGAUGGAUACUAGGCGUGGCUUG